CAGACUCUAUGCAAAGCGCCCCACGAUGCGCGUGCUGCUGAGAGCACAAGGAGGAGAGAGGAGGACGGACACUUAGCAGCCUGGCUAAUGUAGCCUGUGGGGUCGCAAAAUAUUUGUAAAUACAUUUAUUUGGAAAUGAACAACACUUCAGAUCUGGAAAUCGGACUGGGUUGCCUAAGGCGUUCAACGUGGAUGAAAGAAAAAUAUUGAGGAUGUGAGCAGUCCCUUCACCUUUAAAAGUUAUCUUCAAAAUGGAGCUUGUUCUUUGUCCUAAGUUUCAGUCUGAGCGCGAGAGGUCCCGCCGCACACAACUGCCGGCAUUUACACUCCGUCCUCUCUCACUGCACACCUUCCUGUGGAGAUUGGCUCACUUCGAUUCCUCUAAGAUGAAUGUCUCUUUGAACCUCUUGUGGCAUUUGAGUGAACUGCAGUUACAGGUUCCAGCUCUGGUGAUUCAUCGAAUGGGAACUUCAGAGGAAUUUGCUGCAUCACAGACCAAAUCUGUUCAGGUUUUCAUGUGUACACAACAUUCCUUUGAUGUGACCAACAAGAGUAUAAAAAUGAUGUCUCUUGAGAGAGAUCCAGAGAGACUAUUGGUCUUUCUGUUUAUCCAUCAUCUUAGGCUCACUUUCACAGUCUCUCCACCACUGUUGUUUCAUACAAUGAUUUGUAUGAAUAAUUUAUGCCACAUUGCUUCGCUGUCAUUAAAGGUGACCUUGGUUAAUUAUUGAUCAGGUCAGAUGAUUUCAGUCCUGACCUCUAGGUUCUCGUCUACCGCUCGGCUCAGAUUUCAUAUCUACGCUCUUCCUCUUUGUAUUCCUGGAGACCCUCAUAUGAUGAAUUACUGUCUAUUGUUAUUGCUGGGGGAGUGUUGGUGCAUUUACAGAGACGUGAAAUGUAAAAUUA